UUGAGUAUAACGACGGCCUUACAAAUUUUGAAUUUAUCGAAAAUCGAUAACUAUCAUCCGGUGACUUAUGCAAAUUAAAUGCUUUGUUUACAUUUUAAUUGCUCUUCUAUAAUAAAAUAUACAUAAAAAAUUACAUAAAAAAAUGUUCAAGUUCAGUGAAACAGUUAUUUGUGCAAUAUAAUAAAACUAUGAUUAAUUGUCGUGCUAAAGUACACAAAGCAGGUUAUUGCAAGGCACAAAUGAAUAGUUUGGACUCACGCCUUUUACAGUAUACCGCAAUCUAUCCGCUUGUUGUUGCACUGGACAGCGAACGCAAAAAGUCUGUUGUAUGAUCACUGCACUGCAAUUGGAGUUUGGAGCUUUAAGCUCACGACAUUAAUAGAAAUCGUUUGAGCACUUUACGUCGUCAUUGAGCUUUUUGUUGUCCAGUUAUGUUAGCAUAACGAGCACACCGUUAUUUUGGAGCAAAAAUUCCGCAUAUUAACUAGUCUUCAAUGUACGGAAAAUCAUCAUAUCGAUUAGCAAGUCCAUAUACUUCUAGAGUGCCGAUAAUUACUGUUAGAAGACAACUUUUUCGAGGCCAAAGUCUUUUGUGAGGUGGUCUGUG
rnacentral:lncRNA from 1 species